GACGAACGCUGGCGGCAUGCCUAACACAUGCAAGUCGAACGGAACUUGUUGAAUGAAGUUUUCGGAUGGAUUUCAGCAAGUUUAGUGGCGGACGGGUGAGUAACGCGUGAGAAUCUGCCCUUAGGACGGGGACAACAGCUGGAAACGGCUGCUAAUACCCGAUGUGCCGAGAGGUGAAAUGAUUUAUUGCCUGAGGAUGAGCUCGCGUCCGAUUAGCUAGUUGGUGGGGUAAGAGCCUACCAAGGCGACGAUCGGUAGCUGGUCUGAGAGGAUGAUCAGCCACACUGGGACUGAGACACGGCCCAGACUCCUACGGGAGGCAGCAGUGGGGAAUUUUCCGCAAUGGGCGAAAGCCUGACGGAGCAAGACCGCGUGGGGGAAGAAGGUCUGUGGAUUGUAAACCCCUUUUGACAGGGAAGAAGCUCUGACGGUACCUGUCGAAUCAGCCUCGGCUAACUCCGUG
rnacentral:rRNA from 1 species